UGAAUGCUGGAACUCUCUGCACAACAAACGCUCUUUGCUUUUACAUACUAUCUGAGUCUGGGGUCUUCCUUCAGCUAUUUAUGGAAUCUAACAUUUGGGGGCUUGUAUGGGAUCGCUGAGGCUGAGUAGUUGAGUAGAACAGUUGAGUGUUUUGAGGGGACUCUUUCUCUCCCCAGCUGAUUGGAUUCCUGCCAGGUCUCAGCGAAUUCAGGCUUGGUCGUCACCCAGAUUCAGUGAUGCUAACUCACCAGCCCACUUGGGAUGAUUGCCAGCAGCUGUUGAAGGUCCUCUUCACCACCGAAGAGAGGGACUGUGUUUUGAAUGCAGCCUGGAAAUUAGUUCCGGGUGCCAAUGGAUUGUCACUCAGGUCCAGGCUGAAACUGAUGCAGCUUUUCCACUCCCCCGGCCUGACUGGGACUACAACUCUAAUGCAGGAGUAAACCAGUUUGCAUCUGCUCGCCCUCGGACUGCACUCACCUGACUCUGGCUAUCUGUGCAGUGACUCCGGUGCCUCUCACUCCCUCGGCUUGGACCCCGCCAUCACCCACAGGCUGGAGCCUUGGGAGGAGGACCAACAUCUGGCACCCAACAUGGCCUUGGCCCUCUUGGUGUUGGCAAAAUGCCCCGUUUCUCCCUCACUCAGGAGGUAUUCCAGUGUUGCUGCAGGCAGUGACAGGUGGUGCUGAAACCUGGGAUCCUGAGAACGAGGAGACACUGAGGCCAGUGAAAAUGGACCACAGGAGCAUGCACAAAUCAACUGACUAAGCCCCUUGUGCAGGCGGUUACUAUUGGUGGUCGUGGGUGACUACAGAGCUGCCACCCAUGCAGAAAA